CAGCUCUAUAAAAUGAUGUACUAUGAAGACGACUGUUUACAUUUCCCUACCCACCGUCCAAACACAUUGUGGAAAGUCUUCAGUUGUUGGUUUUAGUAGCCAUGGCACAGUUCAUCCAUCUGUCACUGCUGCUGGCAACAAUCCAGCUGCCUUUGGGGUUUUCAGCAACACAGAUAUGGCUCCGAGAGGGAAUCCCUUUUAAAUUUACUGGAGGAGGGAAAGUUAAAAGUUGUUGCAAAAGUGUCUUGGGUGACACUGUUAUUGACAAUACACUGGGCAUGUCCUCCAACCUCCUGAACGACAAGGUCACUAUCAACUCACUCAACGAUACCUUCAUCUGCUACGGUAACAACAAUAAUGAUCCAGUCCUGUAUCUGAACGUAACAAGAGGUUGUAUACGGACAUUUUUCUAUGGUGUGGAUUUUUCCAAAGGUAAAAAAACACAGAUCGAAGGCACAACUAAAGCUGGCUGUAGGAGAUGCUGUACUGAAGAUGAAAAAUGCGAAUACUUUACAUCUCAUACAAAGAAAGGAAGGAAAAAUGAUAAAGGAAAAUGUUUCCUGUUUUCAUCAAGUGAGGAGCUGCACAUAAAAUUAAAAGACAAAUCUGUCUCAGGGUACCCUCUGAGGAACUGCACAGAAAUAAAUGGCAAGUGACUUAAUUUCAUGUUUAAAAUACAACUUAUCUUUAUUCAUUCUUUUACAGUAUCUUUAUUUACAAAAUAAUUGUGCCUACAAAACUACAAAUCUAAGACCAAAUAUAUGAAUAUGUUUCCCAUUUUAAAGACAGAUCAUAACUAAGCAAGACCUUCAAAUUAAAUAAAAAUUCAAUGUCUUUUGAAUUUGGCCCAUACUGAAGAAUGAAAUAUUUUGUUCUGAUUUAAGACCUCACUUUAGAUUGGGGGACAUUUUCGGAGUUAUAAAGACUUCAUUUAGAGUUAUUUGGACACUAAUAACACUUGUAGUUUUGUGUUUUGUUGCACAAGAAUAAGUGUUAUUCAGACAGAAUGAGUAUCCUUGUGGUACUGCCACCUCAUAAGACUACUACAUUAAGAUCAUAAUUCAUAUAGAACAACUUCAAUCAACAAUCAAUAUGCAACUAAUAUGCAUGCUAAUAAGCAACUAGUUAAUGGUGAAUAUGUGUACCUUAAUAUAAAGUGUUAUACGUUAGAAACAGAGAGACAGAGGAUGUGGGGAU